rnacentral:tRNA from 1 species
UGCAGGAUGCGUUGGCUCCAAGGGUCAUGGCGCAGGACUCAUAAGCCUGAGGUCAGUGGUUCGAUUCCACUUCCCGCUACCA